CCCAGACUCCUACGGGAGGCAGCAGUGGGGGAUAUUGCACAAUGGGGGAAACCCUGAUGCAGCGACGCCGCGUGGGUGAAGAAGCGCCUCGGCGCGUAAAGCCCUGUCAGCAGGGAAGAAAAUGACGGUACCUGAAGAAGAAGCCCCGGCUAACUACGUGCCAGCAGCCGCGGUAAUACGUAGGGGGCAAGCGUUAUCCGGAUUUACUGGGUGUAAAGGGGGCGCAGACGGCGAUGCAAGCCAGGAGUGAAAGCCCGGGGCCCAGCCCCGGGACUGCUCUUGGAACUGCGUGGCUGGAGUGCAGGAGGGGCAGGCGGAAUUCCUGGUGUAGCGGGGAAAUGCGUAGAUAUCAGGAGGAACACCGGUGGCGAAGGCGGCCUGCUGGGCUGCAACUGACGUUGAGGCCCGAAAGCGUGGGGAGCAAACAGGAUUAGAUACCCUCGUAA
rnacentral:rRNA from 1 species